GAGAGAGAGAGAGAGGGGGGGAGAGAGAGAGAGGAGAGGACCGGAUGAGAGGAGGAAAGGAAAAAGGUGUUGACUGUAAAAGGUAAGAGGGAAAGAGAAAAGAAGGCACGAAAGAAAGGCUCUUGUUUUAUUUUCUGCUCCCUCGUUGACCCCGGUUUGGCAGAGGCUGGUCCAGAAAAGGCAGCACACCCCUCCCUGACAAGCACAGGAGAGACUCCUGCGCCUGCUGCUCCAUCCUGGAUUCAACGCAACAAUACGCAGGACGAGACUUUGGAGAGAUGAUGGAGCUGCGAGCGGGGUCCGGACCACGGAGCUGGAGACUGGACCUGGCACCGGUUCACUGCGUUUUCAAUCCGUCCAAGAUCAGGAGGGAAAUCCAACCACCGCUCCUGUAACUUCUGACCCUUCUCCAUCAAGGACGGUUCCCAUGUUGUGCGCGAGCACCGGGGAGAUGCGUCUCGUUACACAUGCAGCUGAUGUGUGAUGCUGUCGGGACGGGGCGCAAAAUCCCCUCCGUCCCACGCUGGCCAUACUCCACCCUGCAUCUACACUGUAAAAAAAAUAUCAACCUAUACAAGCUGUUAAAUGCAGGCCCAGCUCUGAGGUGAUAAAAUUCAUACUUGCUGAAAACGUACCAUGAGUUAAUUAAACCUGUUUCCACUGUUCCACAAAUGAGUCAUGAGAUUAUUGAGGGUGGUGCAAUUUUUCUUAAUUGUACUGCAGAAAUACUAGACAUUUUGUUUUGCUUGGUAAUUCUACAACACGGGUCUCCGUAGAAAUCCUGCAAAAUGCGUAAAAUUCGUGGAACCACCAUGAUGGCACAGCUUCUGCCACGUUUGGCUAAAAUGUGACACAAAUGAAAACGGAAGCCUGUCGAUUUUAUUUUUACAGUGCACUCUCUCUGCCCUUAGAUAAAGCCAUUAUCCUGCUGCUGGGCUCCUGUUAUUUUAUUUUUACCCUUUCUAAAACCCGUUCCAGGCUAAAAUUACGCACGUCAAUCUACAUAUGAUUUACUUGAUUAAAUGACCCGCAAGCGCCAGAAGAAUUACUCCGGUGACGGCUCUUUAAAGCUGUGAACAGUUGCCAACUUAUUCCUGCAGUCACAUGUGCAAUGUGUCACCCGGACCUGCAAGAUGCACACGCUUGUGCAAACACUGCAGUGGCGGCGAUUGAGAGGAAACAAGUAGAGAAAAAUGCGCAUUUUCUGUUGAGAGUGUUGUGAUAAUGAUCUGUAAAUGUGGCGCCAACUUUAACAGCGAAGCAAAGUUUUUAACCUCUCUCUCUCUCGCGCUCUCUCCCUCCCUCUCUCUCCCUCUCUCCUUUCUUUUAUUGUUUUUAUUGUGUGGUCUCAUUAGGGGGACUUCCUGGCAGGGCUGGGAGCUUGUAUCGGAGCUGUCCAAUCAGUGUAUUUACACGGGUUGUUAGCGACAGUUAAUGAGGGCUCCUCCCCGGGCCGGUAGAGAAAGGCGCCUCAACAUUAAGAUUUACCUUGUGUCAACUCGUUACUUCUAAUGAACCUCCGCGUAAAAAAGCCUCCUCGCACUCAAUGGAGCCGUGCGCCCGGAUCCUGUGUGUGUGAGACCCUGGAAGAGUGGAGCUGCAAGCCGGCGUCCUUUCGUCCCCCCCACCCCUCACUUCUUUUUUUCUUCCGCUCACUCAGGGAGAGUCGCCUUUUCUCUGCAGGUCCGGGCUCCAUGAUGCAUGCAUGCAAUGCCUCUGCAUCCGCGUGCAUGUGUGAGUGUGGACGUGUGUGUCCAAGGAAGGUGGGUGGUGCGUAUAACCUACUCUAAAAAAAAACCAAAGGCAUCAUUUUGACUUAAUGAUUGCACAAUAAGAAGUGAUUAUGAUGCACUGUACAAACUGUAUUCCUGCAGCACUCACAAGUCAGAUGAAUGGAGGGAUGGAUGGAUGGAUGGAUGGAUGGAUGGAUGGAUGGAUGGAUGGAUGGACAAACUCAGCAAGAUGUAAAGACAUAAGAGCAAAAAUAAUGUGUUGAAUACAACAUUUUUCAAAUAUUAUAGUAAAAAUGUGAUGAGAGGACGGAGGAGCAGGAGGGCUGGUGUGUGUUUGCGUGUCAGUAUCACAAACCUGGUACGUCUUCUACUGUUUGGUGAAUUAGGCUUGACAUGUCAGCUUAUUGCCUCUGCAGAAGUAAGUUCACUUAAUCACCCCCUCCCUCACCCCCUCUUCUUCCUCCCCCACAUCCCCCAGCAGAGCACGGAGGAUAGGCCGCGGCAGCUCGGGCUCUGGCCCCUCCGUCCACCCCCUCAUCUGGCCCCCAGUGAGGCUUGUUGAGCCGCAUCAGCAACACAUCAGUGCCCCUCAAUUCAGGUACAAACUGGAGGAGUUUGGCGGAUCCCUGAAGUGGACUCCCCUCUUACUCCUCUAACCCACAGAGACACCACUUAAAAAUCAAUUAGGCUCGUCUCGUCUCUCCCGCCCUGCCGGUCAACGUCUCAGGAACAGGUGGCUUCCACCAAUUUGGGGAGAGAUUAAAAAGUAGGCUACAUUCCAGCGAGAUUCAUUAUUUCAUUUUAUCCUGAAUCCAGGUCUGAAUGAGGGGAUGUGCCCUCAUGCACUUCAUGGCCCCUCUGAGUCUGUAGGGUACAUCUCUAUGUGCUGACAUCAUUCACAUAUUUGUGGCAGGCCUUCUCACAAUGUAGGCCGGCACAAUGUAGGCCGGAGCUUCUUAUUCUCAGCUCCAAUAUAUGAUUUUUCUCCUUAGCCGACAGGGUAUUUUAUUUUGAAGUGUGGUGUGCAUCUGUUACAUAAUAUAUUUGCAGAUGUCAGCUGCAUUUCUUGUAAGAAAUCUCCAUCCAGCAGCAGUCAGCAGGUGAUUAAGUGGCCAACACAAGAUUAUAUAUUCAUGGUUGUUGGUGCUUUGUCACCUGCUGAUGAUAGAGACAGAAAUAAACAGUUUGGUUUGUUUCUAAAAAGUGAUCUUUAUUCCUCAUAGAGACUCUUAUCUUAUAGAGCUCCAUAUCAAAAACAUAUUUUCUCUUGUCGUCUGUUUCACCAUGAUUUUAACCGCAGACAGUCUCCUGCUUCCUCGUGUUAAAGAGCUGCAGCAGUCGACACAAGGAGCAGCAGCAGCAGCAGCAGCAGCAGCAGCAGCAGCAGGAGCAGCAGGAGCAGGAGCAGGAGCAGCGCUGGAGGAGGCUGUGUGUUGUGUGUUCACUCUUCCAGGUAGAUGGGUUGAUUUGGAGACAGAGACCAUAAAUAUUACGGAUGCAUAUCAGAUGCGUGGCCCCGAGCUUUACAAACGAUGCUCACCUUCCAAUCCCCUGUGACUUCCUCUGAAGAGCAAAACAACAUCUUCUCCACUUCCUCAGAUCAGCUACAGUUUUUUUUUACCAGCAUCCAAUCUUUGAAUAUCAGUCAUGCACCUGAAUGUGUGGGGGCCUAAAGGUGCACUGACUCAAUAGAGGGGUGACCAAAGUUUCAUCAGCACAAAUAGAAAUGCUCUCGUAAAAUUGGACAGUUUGGGGCUCGACUGUCAAGGCUGAUUAAGUAGCCCGGCUCUCAGAUGCAGAUAGAGGCUGUGGAGAUGGCCCUUUAGCCCGGUGUCACAGGAGCUGACAAGCCAUAAUUACUCUGGCUGACACAUCGCUCUCCAAGCUUACUAAUGUGAGAGCUGUGGAUAUGUACGGCAGACGGCGUGCAUACAGUCCCGACUGCUCAGCUCUUCAGCCACGCAGUCCCUUCCUCCCAGGGAUCAGAUGCUCGGCUGACCUUUUCCAUUUUCACAUUUCAGUGGUGACACACACUCUUAUUUAAAAGUUAGUGGAGAUCAUAAGGAUCUGUUUGGAUUAAAAAAGAAACUACAACAUGCUAUAUCAGUAGUGGAAACAAACUAUUUACUCAAGUAGUAGUUGUAUUAGUAUUUUUUAUUUAUGCUUCUUCUACUGCAUUGCAUUUAAAGGAAGAAUAUUCUACUUUUCCUCGCUGCUACUUUGCAGAUUAAUAUAUUUUAAAUAUAUAAUUACAGGCUGAACUAUUCAGCAGCAUGUGUAGUUGAAGAUUAAUUUUACCUAAAUAACACCAAACUUAUAAAGUACUGUACAACCAAGCACACUGAAAGAGGCCACUAUAUAUUUAGUGCUUUUACUUUUUAUUACACAUUGUAUGUAGUGCUUCUCCAGCGUGAAAAAACUGCUUUUACUUCAUUUAAGUGUUUCAUUAGGAUAAAAUUAAUUAGUUAACAUUAGAGAUAUGAUGAGAGUAAAGUAGGCUGCUAGUGAAACAUUUCUGUGAGUAUUUACUUAAUUACUGUACUUUUUACUUUAUACUUUUCUAUUAGAUUAGAGGUUCUGUUUUUUUAUAAAACAUAUGUUUAACAAAUGAAUUAUGCAUCUUGAUAAAUUCAAAUACCCAACAUCUUAUAGAGUAAAGAUAUCCCACUUUCAACUGAUAAAACAUAGAAUGUCAGUGUAUCAGUAAUAACUUUCCAACUAUAAUGACCCUCUCUGAAAUUAAGGAGAGUAGUCCAGUUACUUUUGAUAAGUAUCUAAGUAAACUUUGCUGAUAGUAUUUUUGUUCUUUCAAUAAUUAAUUAAAAGUAGUAACUCCUCUCACAACACGCACAACUUCUGUCUUCCUCAGCGAGCAAAUGUUUUUUUAUCAAAGCUUUAUAUUUUGUAAUCGACUGAUGUGAGUGAUCUAUAGAUCUACUCAUUGCGCGUGCGUGUUUGCGGAUGUUUGUGUGUGUGUGUGUGAAGGUUACAGGGUCACAGACGAUCCUGUCAUUGUCUCACAUUUUGUUUGUCGCCGUGUUUGCGUGACACGCAACGAACAAUCCAACGUCUCUCUCUCUCUCUCUCUCUCUCUCUCUCUCUCUCAC